rnacentral:rRNA from 1 species
UACGAGGGGUCCAAGCGUUGUUCGGAAUCAUUGGGCGUAAAGCGGGUGUAGGUGGCUUUGUAAGUCAGGAGUGAAAGCCCUAGGCUCAACCUAGGAAAUGCUUUUGAUACUGCAAAGCUUGAAUGUGGGAGAGGAUCGUGGAAUUCCAGGUGUAGUGGUGAAAUACGUAGAUAUCUGGAGGAACACCGGUGGCGAAGGCGGCGAUCUGGCCCAACAUUGACACUCAGACCCGAAAGUGCGGGGAUCAAACAGGACUUAGAAACCCUAGCU